GCGGGUGACUCGUGGCACGAGUCGGUGAGUUCAGGACACUUAGUGGGUCCCGACGACGUCCCGGUGUGGUUUUCGGGACUUCCGGUGAGUUACGGUAAUCGGUUUUGGGAAACCGAUUACGGGGAUUCUGUGUGGGGGUUUGUGAGUCUCGUGCUUUGGGUUGUGGUUUGGAUUCUGACUUGCUGAAUCUUCUUAGGUCCGGUAGACUCUGUGCGUACCCAGCGUUCCGACGCGAUAGUGACAGGUGGGUACUUCGAUCCGACGUCGGUACGGUGGUGCACGCUCGGUGAUGGUUUCCUAGCUCUGUUCUCUCGUUAUUAUCUGGCAUUUAUAUAUAUAUCUUGAUAUAUAGUAUUGAGCUUGCAUCCCCGUUGUUUCUAUUAUACUCUACUCAUAUGUUUCUAUGCUUAGUAUCAUGUGUAGAAGUAGAGUAGUUUAUCCAUUGUGAUCCCGGUGACCUGAUUGGUCGGUUCUCGUACUUCGUUUCGGUGACCUGGUUGGUCGGUUGUUGCAUUAUGUAUUGGGUUGGUCUGUUUCUUGACUUCUGUCGUUCGAUGACCUUUGAGGUCGGUGUACCCUGAGGGGUAGGAUUGUCAGCUGGCGCUGACGGUAGUUCUGGACUAUAUCGAAGACACUUCUGUGACCUAUCGGUCGGUUCUUGCGUUCGUACUUUUAGUUGACAUCGAGCAGUAUCUACAUACUAUCUUUAUUUACUCUGCCUGGUUGUUCUAUGUGUAGUAUCCUGUAUAGGGGUAGAGUAGAUGGCAUUCGUAUAUACUAUACUUGUGACCUGGUUGGUCGGUUCUCCUAUUUGCAUCGGUGACCUGUUUGGUCGUUCGUUACUUUCCAUACAUUGACCUAUCUCGGUCGGUUCACGUUGUUACUUGAUGACCUACACGGUCGGUAUGCCCAGAGGGGCAGUGAUUGUCGGCUGAUUGCCGACGGUUGGCUAUUGAUCAUAUCCGCAUUGAUCGCCACAGCUCGAGUGCAUUUCACGUACACCAGCGGGUUGAUCCCCCGCAGGAGGGUGUUCUUUUCCGGAAAAGUGGUCGUACAUCCGACCCGUGAGCCCAGCGGUGUUCUCUUUGUGCUAGGGUUACAUGCCAGGUGUGAGCAGAUAGUGGCUUUUGCCUGAGGUCCUUAGACCGACACGGCGGUUUAGAUUGGGUACUUUUGGGACUUCUCGUCCGGUUGACGCAUAUAGCUAUAGUAGCGGUUGUUGCAUAUGUACUUCUAGUUCCUUCUUUACAGUUGUCUUGCUACUAUAGUAUUGAUAUCCUUGUAUGCUUGCAGUUGUACAUUACAGUAGCGGUAGUUGUGUUUUCAUAUAUAUAUAUAUAUCUCGUUCGUUCAUUAUCGUUGCUACUGUAUUUUACUUACCCAUACUGUUGGUUAUCUCUUCCUGAUCCGGUGAGUACUCCUCGCCUUCUUCGGCUUGCGGUACCCACUGGGAGGGGAGACAUAUUUACAUGUUCUCACCGCCCCCACCAUUUUUCAGGUAUCGCGGGCGAUGAGUAGUGGGACGAGACGUGAGGUACGCGUGUAGCGGUCGAUAGAGCUCUCGACCCAGGUUAAUUCGGUUUACUUCCUUACCCUUCUUAGUUUGGUUGAUGAAUAGUUUAGUUGGUCUAUGUGGUUCAGUGUUUAUUUACAUUUGAAAAUGUGGAUUUCUGGAUUUUGUAAAAUAAAAAUGAUUUUCUACCCCUCGUGGUAGCGUUUUGAAAAGAUAAAAGUUCCCGUGUAGGGAACAGUUUUCAAAGGGUUUUCGGUGAUUUUGUAUCUUAGUAUUUCAAAACCUGUUUCUGUGGUUGGAAACAUUUUAACUGAUAGAUGUGAAUUUAUGUUUAAAUAUUGAAUGGUAAAACGUGAAUCUGUGGUGAAUGGUGUAUGAAUAUAUAACUGUGAUUAUUUGUAUGUUCAUCUGGUUGUAGUUGUAUCAUGUUUGAACUCUUGUACUUGUGCGACGCCGUGCAAAUACAGGGGAGACUCUGUCCGUGUGAACAGUGGAUCUCCUGUAUUUGUGGCGGAUCUGGCAUACCCUGGGGUCAAGUUUUCAAAAAAAAAAAUUUCAGACGCUUUUCCGCUAUGCUUUAAACUAAAAAGGGACCCCGGGGCGUGACAUAAUAUGAAUAAUUGCUGAAAAUAACUGCUACUAUCAUGCCUCUACAAUAUAGCUGAAAUUGUAAAUUUUGUUUUGUAUCCAUCAAUUAGAGACUAAAUAAAAUACUACAAUAAUGCCCAACAGUCAGGUCUAGCCUGCGCCGCCUCGUGUCCAGCACCCACCUAUAGUGGUCCGCUACCACGCAGGCUACUGUUUGGCCCAUGCCAUAAUAAUAUCUUAUAGCCCAACCUCCGGAGUGGCACUCGCGGGGCACUACCCCAACCGAGUCAAAUGCGAUGAUCAAACAGAUCAUGAUAAUAUUGUCAUAGUGUCUAAAAUACAAUUAUAGUCUACACUCUCUGUAGCUAUUUAUUGAUCUUUAGAAAAAUAUCAAAUAUAUAUGUCUCAAUUUACUCUAUUGGCAGGUGUCAAAAUAUCAUUAUUAUCUCUCAACUAUGUUAACAGUUCAUCUCACAGGUUAAAUAAUAUAAUACGGCCAUAGAAAUUAGUCUACCAAUUUUGACAACACCGAACCCACCUAUAACGCAAGUCCAAGAAAAUGAACAGUAAACGAGAUAGCAGCCACAACACUCUAAAAUAGCUCGAAAAUCCCUCGUCAAGAUUACGCGAAAUCCGCUCCUAAAAUGUAUAUAAAAAAAAAUCAGUUUCCAACUCUCAAUUUCUACCAAAAAUUUAUCAAAAGAAUCUAAACAAGAAAUAAUAAUAUUGUGAUACUAACCACAAUGUCGAAACACCAAAAAUAAACACGCGCGCUCUCGACUCGCUAUAAAAACAAACCAAACCCCUUUCUUUCUUUCUUUCUUUCUUUUUUUUCCUUGGUCGAGCUUAGUUUCCCUCUCCUUCUCUUUUUUUUUUUU
rnacentral:lncRNA from 1 species